GGGCCCUUAGCUCAGUUGGUAGAGCAACUGACUUUUAAUCAGUGGGUCGCAGGUUCGAUUCCUGCAGGGCUCACCA
rnacentral:tRNA from 7 species